rnacentral:rRNA from 1 species
CAGAGGGUGCGAGCGUUAAUCGGAUUUACUGGGCGUAAAGGGCGCGUAGGCGGUUAUACAAGUGUGAUGUGAAAGCCCUGGGCUUAACCUAGGAAGUGCAUCGCAUACUGUAUAACUGGAGUUUGGGAGAGGGUGAUGGAAUUUCCGGUGUAGCGGUGAAAUGCGUAGAGAUCGGAAGGAACGUCAAUGGCGAAGGCAAUCACCUGGCCCAAAACUGACGCUGAGGCGCGAAAGCGUGGGGAGCGAACAGGAUUAGAUACCCUGGUAGUCCACGCUGUAAACGAUGAGGACUAGAUGUUGGAGAGAGCACUCUUUAGUAUCAAAGCUAACGCGAUAAGUCUUCCGCCUGGGAAGUACGGCCGCAAGGUUG